GACGAACGCUGGCGGCGUGCUUAACACAUGCAAGUCGAACGGUGAAGGGACCGGUUUUUGCUGGUUCUGGAUGAGUGGCGAACGAGUGAGUAACACGUGAGUAACCUGCCACCUUCUUCUGGCUAACCGCAUGAAAGUGUAGCUAAUACGGGAUACUCUGCGCCUGCUGCAUGGGGGGUAUGGGUUAGAUAGUGGUUCGGGGAGGGAUGGGCUGGCGGCGUAUCAGGGUGGUGGUGGGGUGAUGGCCUACCAAGGCGGUGACGGGUAGCCGGCCUGAGAGGGUGGCCGGCCUGACUGGGACUCAGACACGGCCCAGACUCCUACAGGAGGCAGCAGUGUGGAAGAUGGAACAGUGGGGGCUAGCCUGCUGCAGCGACGCGGCGUGAGGGAUGGCGGCGUUCGGGGUGUAAACCUCUUUCGCUAGUGAAGCAGGCCUGUCCCUUUUGUGGGUGGGUUGACGGUAGCUGGAAAAGAAGCGCCGGCUAACUACGUG
rnacentral:rRNA from 1 species